AUUGACAACCGGUGAGAUCAUCAGACGAACAGUCAAUCUUCGAUUCUUACUGGAGGAUUGGGCGUGAUAUUUAAAAAUCAUCUGAAGCUGUUCGCUUCGUGAAUGUUUAUAUAAAAUUGUCAACGGUCGAGGAUGAAAUAUACGGACGAGGACAUGGAAGUUGAUUUGUGGGAGCUAUUUUUGAGAAAACAUUUGAAGAGCAUGGAAUGGCACGUGCGACUGGGACGGACGCAGGUGCAAACGGCGCGUUACUUGAUGAACAUAUGGCUCCCAUGCCCCCAUACCAUACGUCGUUGUUAUGAAGUAGAACGUGCCUAUCCGUUCAAACAAUUUAUUUUUAGCGAAAAUGAACAUCUGCCUUCAACAACACGAGGAUAAAGCGCCGCCCACCACGCGACACAUGAGGUUUUCAUUCCUUCUUCAAGCGAAGUAUGAAAGAAUCUCCGGCUUAGCUGCGGUAUUGCUGUUGUCCAUGGACGCCAGUGACCAACCUCUAAGUAAUCCACGUGCUGAUCAGUUUCCGGAGGUAACAAAAACACCGUAAAAUCGAAAGGUAAAACUGUUUAUUAUGCUUAUGAUAACUGCAGGCUGCAGGCUAUGUUUGUAAAGUAAUUUGGUACUGUGAGAGAAUAUUAUUUGAUUUAUGAUAAUUUUAUGUGAUACCUAAUAGUCUGUUCUUUUUUUAUUUUUAUUGCCCUUGUACACAGACGAGCAUUCCGCCCACCUGAUGGUGAGUGGUUACCGCCGCCCAUGGACUUCAGCAAUGCCAGGGGCAGAGCCAAGCCGCUGCCUACCGCUUAAUAGUCGUCGUGGUCGUCUUAUGAAGUCGUCGUGGCCUAAAGGAUAAGACGUCCGGUGCAUUCGUGUUGAAGCGAUGCACCGGUGUUCGAAUCCCGCAGGCGGGUACCAAUUUUUCUAAUGAAAUAUGUACUCAACAAAUGUUCACGAUUGACUUCCACGGUGAAGGAAUAACAUCGUGUAAUAAAAAUCAAACCCGCAAAAUUAUAAUUUGCGUAAUUACUGGUGGUAGGACCUCUUGUGAGUCCGCGCGGAUAGGUACCACCGCCCUGCUUAUUUCUGCCGUGAAGCAGUAAUGCGUUUCGGUUUGAAGGGUGGGGUAGCCGUUGUAACUAUACUGAGACUUUAGAACUUGUAUCUCAAGGUGGGUGGCGCGUCUACGUUGUAGAUGUCUAUGGGCUCCAGUAACCACUUAACAUCAGGUGGGCUGUGAGCUCGUCCACCCAUCUAAGCAAUAAAAAAAAAAAAAAAAAAAAAUAAUACUCUCCACAAGCCUCGUUUGAAGAAGGACAUAUCAUAGCGCUCGGGAAACACCGUGGAGGGGAGCUCAUUCCAUAGCCGAAUGGUACGUGGCAAAAAAGACCUCUGGAAACGCACUGUGGAUGCAGGUAGUAUGGAUGAACUCUACUCCGGUGGCGGGCGGUGCGAUGGUAAAAACGAGAAGAUCAUAAGUCAAAAGAUGCACAUAGAGAACCCCAGUCACCUCCAGCAGCUAAUAGCACAUUCUCAUCUUCCAUUCAUAGUAGUAUUGCCAUACUAAUUUCUUACCAGCCAAUUCCAGGCCUACCAUCGGUCAUAAAUAACGAUACAGUCAAGAUAAAGAGUCAUUAUUAAGUAAUAGGAUAAUUAACAGUAAUCGUUCACGAAAUUAAUAUUUUUAAGUCUACAAUCACAGCUGGGAAUCAUUACCAUUAUUAUUGAAACUAUUUCAACGAUAUUAUGCUUUAUACUUCACUAUUGUAUUUUCAAGGACUAUCAGAUAAUUCCCAUUUGUUAUUACGUGAUAAUUUACGCCGGGGUAGUGGUGUGUUUAGCACUUGCGCAGGCGCGUGUGGCUCUUACAUCAGUCUACACAUCUGUCCAUAUUUUACAGUCCAUGUUUACGGAACAGCUUCGCGGCUCGGUGUCUGCUAAAUUAUCUGGCAUUGUACUAAAAUACAUCGACCAGUAUAAAAUUUGAUGUGGUAAGUCAUCAUAUAUUUUCUAUCUAUUAUUCGUUCACCUAUAGCUUACUUCUAGUAAAUGUUUUGUAUUUUUGCACUUCUAUUGUAUGCGGUGUUGGUUCGAACUGUCUAAUAAAUAUAUGUACAUUCAUAUAAUUAUAAAAAAAGAAUGUUUUUUUGUUCGAGAUCUAUGAUUUUAACAUGAACAUGAAUUUUAACAUGAAUGAUUGAACUGAAAUUCUGUACAAUUAGGGAAAUGUUUUUGUAAUAAUGGGCAUUGACGUAAAUAUGCAUUAAUUUAAGAAAUUAUUUAUAAAUUGUUUAAAUACUCACUGUAGUUAUUUUUUAGUAAUAAACUGAAAAUUAAUUAAAAAUAGCCUUUCAAGGAUAUGUGAUAUCAGCAAUGGUAUAAAGUAGAGCCUGAAAAAUAGUGGUUUCCAAAAUUUUUUACCUGCGCUAUGGCUGUCAUUCAACCUUCUAUCAAUAUCACUCGUUCAUAUAAUAAAUAAUGUAUAUUUUUAUACGAACUAAGUAUAAUCUCUCUGAAAGCAUCUUUGGAUUGUUAUAAACCGCAUUGAUAUAAAGUCGUAACAGUAUUCAAUUCAUGACUACCUCCAUUUUUUUUAUUUGAAAUUAAAAAAAGUGUUUUGAGGAUAACACUCAGAUCAUACAACACAUUUGAGUGCAUAGAAGUAAUAUUUAAAAUUUAAUAAGUAAUAAUAAUUAGUAUUAUUACUCUAAGUUUGAGUGGUACACAGAACAGCUAAAGUACCUAUCUAUUUGAGUAAAUGACGUAAUUUGAGGACAAGCAAAGAUCAAAGAUUAAUUGAAAAUACCGGUAAAUAAAGAGUAUUUAUUGAUUUAUGUGUUUCAAUUCAAUUAAUAUAAAUGUAUUUGUUAAAUAUUUUUUAUUAUUCUAAAGAAAAAUAUUAACAGAAUUAUGAACUUUUAGAAACGACAUUGCAUUUAUAAUAUUAAAAUAAGUAGGUAUUUUAAUAUUAUAGAAUCGCUCUAGUAAUCAGAAUCGCUUAGGUGUAAAACCUUGACUGAUUCGGUCGAGGUUGUAAAUCCAAUCGCUCGUUGCGUCAAUAAAUUCUCAGAGAACUUCCAAAAGUUUUUAGAUUUGAUAAAUCACCGGGGGCAGUGACACAGUUCCGUUGUCAGCAACCGUAAAUAAAUGCCUCCAUUAUUAUUGUCUGUCUGUAAUAAUUUCCCCAAAAUAGUGCCGUUAGGUUCAUGACACUUUGAACACAAUAGCUGUACCAAAAACGUUACUUAAUAUAACAAACACAGCAUAAAAUACCCUUUUUGUAAACCAUUGGUGCGAAAAUCGAUAUUAAGUAUACCUACCUAUGUACUUAGAAUACCUACCUACUGAAACGACCUAUUUUUAUGAAACUUUAUUUUCCUAGCACGUGAUGAAUAGAAAAUAGACGUUAAUUAGACGUUAGACAAUAAUUAAUCAUGAUCGUCACGACAAAAAUUUUAAUAGGUAAAAAUAUAUUUGCACACAAAGCAACGGUUAAUCUUUAUAUGGCGUCGCUUUGAUGUGCAAUUUAUUUUUUAUAACGGAAAUUGUCCCAUCUCUGACCAAGGCUGUCGCGGGUUAACAGCUAGCAUGCCAACUUAGACUGGCUUGGUAUACUUGAAGCGUAAUAUAUUUUGUGUACGUAACAUAACAAGCACGUUUGUAACACAGCGGAUGUCAUAUGCCUGUGACUUGAUUGCGAAUGUGGUAAUCGCUAGAGACCUCAGUCGAAGCAGUUGACAGAAAACUCUUCGAUAAGGAGGGUCUUCGUUACUGAUAUUAUAAAAAAUAUAUAUAAUAUUUAUGUGUUAAAUUCAUGUGAACUCAGCCUGAUGUUAUAGACCCGGGAAAGGGGCCAAUUGAUAUUUGCAAAGUUAAUUCAUCUACAGCGACUUAAAAUUUAUCGAAGAAUAAUUUUCAUCAAUCUAUGCCCAAAAGUAUUUGUGCAAAAACUCACGAUUCCCAGUCCGGAAGAUAUUAUUCAAGACGGCGCAAUACGGGGACGAAGCAAUGACAGCUUGGACGAUGUUUAGCUGGAGAAGAUUGUACAAUCGAAGACUUGGUGAAGUGAGCGACGACUCUCAUGUUGAAUUGCCGGCAGAUACAAGACAAUUAGUUUAUAACGUGUAUAUGUACUUUAGCAGAAAACCCGGAAGAAGUGCGAAAGUGGUCCUGUCAAAGACAGCUAGUGCUACAAUGCUACCGCGUGAUAUUGUUGCUGAAAUCAUAAGGGAUAAAUACCGCGAAUGAACAGUAAGCUUUAGAAUUUACGCGUGUAACUAAAACAAUUUAGAUAUGUAAUUUAUUUGUUUUGAAUUGACUAGACUUAAAUAAAAAAUUAGAAUUAGAACUUUUGAAUUUAGUCUCGUCUCUUCGCAUGUAGCCUAUCAUAGCCCUUUGUAGAAGUGCUAAAUUGUUUCUUAUUUACUAUUUUAAAAUUACCAUUCACCGAAAAUGCUAUUCUAUAAUAUUCUAUUCUCACGAAAUUUUUAACUUAGAUGUCCCGUAGUUUAUUCUGGGCUACAUUAUUUAUUUACUAAUGUAAAGAAGGAUUUAAAGAUGCGACUUCUAUUAAGCAAGAGAGCUCAUAUAAUUUAUUUUAUUAUAUAAACAUUAAAUGAAUCACGACAAGAGUUUACAAUGUGAUUAGAAAAGUAUAAUAACUACAAAGUUAUUAUACUUUUUUAGUCACAUUCUAUCUGUAACUAAAAUAUUAAAACAAUUUAAUAUUAUAGUUUAAGUUUCGCAGACAUAAUUUUAAUUUUAAAGUGUUUUUAAACGUCACAUUCCCAUUGAAAAAAAGAGCUUUUUAACAUAUUUGUUAAUAUGAAAAUAAUUACUUAUAUACUAUAAUAAUAAAUUAUACAUUUUAUUAUAUAAAGUUAACCAAAUUAAAAAUAAACAGCACUGUACAAAUCUUGAUUAAAAUUAAAAUACGUUGUUAAUAGUUUGGUUUUGAGUCAUUCUAACGUACUGUUCUAAUGUGGAUGCAGAGAGAAUGUCUGAGAGGUAUUUUUUGGUCGUCUUGGUCCAUUUUAGAAAUAGCGUAACUUGUUUAUUCAAGCUGUCAUUGGCCGGUUGAGUGAAACAAGAUAAUCAGAUAUGCCGUUUUGUUCUCCGACGCUACAUAACAAAGAAGUAUGAAUUUAAUAAAACUAGUGGUCCCGCAGUAGUUGAAAUUGGACUAUAAUUAAUUGAAAUUAUAAGUUUCAACAUAAUUAUGGUUCUAUUGUUACAGAUUUCGCCAAGACUACACUAUAGACAAAUACUCGUAAUAUUAAAAAUAAACAAUACUAACCUAUUCUCAAUUUGACUACAGACUAUAGGAAAUAAUAACAGUUUGACAAUAAACAAAGAGUAUAUGUGUGUGUGUCAAAUGCAUGGUAGUGUGUGUAAUGUUUUCUUUAUUGAUUUAAUGUAUAUUUUAUGCAAGGAUGGUAGCAAUCUCGAGAGGCUCAUCGUGACUGGUAAGGUAGGUGGGAAAAGACCUCGGGGGCGCAGCCCAAUACGUUGGUCCGACCAGAUCCGCACCGCUCUUGAUUCCACGUUUCACAACGCCCUCCACACUGCCAGAGACAAGAAUGGAUGGAGAAGGAUCGUGCGUGCGAAGGUGAUACAAAAGGGUGGUCACGACCCUCAGCAAUGAGGAAUACGACGCAAGGAGGAGGAUCUUUUAUGCAUUCUUUUAAAAAAUAUUAGCAUUGUGCACUUCUUCUCUACAUUCUCUAUAAGUAUGGAAAAUUUCAUACUCCUCCGUCCGCGCAAUUUUCGUAAAAAGGGAUACAAAGUUUUUUCUUCACGUAUUAAUAUAUAGAUUUUUGCAGUAAACGCGCGUUGCUAAUAAAAAAAAAAACAACCUCGAUGGGUGAAAGUUGUAGCUUGUGACGAAAUUCGCAAGGUAAACAAUAGCUCAUAUAUUUGUUGCUCAUAUAUUCAUAUAUUUGUAUAUUGUGUAUUCUUUUUUACUUUAAAACUUUUUGAAGCACCUAAGAUAAAAACAAUCCUGCCUAAUUCUGUCGCGAAGUCAUACGUUUGUUUUGAAGGGUGGGACAGCUGUUAUGCAAUAUAAUUUGAGACUUCGCCCUCAUGUGUCAAGGUGGGUAGCGGCAUUCGACUUGAGAAGUCUAUGGGUUCACUUGCAGCAAGCUGGGCCUUCAUCUCGUUCACCUAUAUAAGCAAUAAAAAAUUAUAAAGCCAUUUUUGGAUAUGGCAUAUUUUUAUUUAUCUCAAAUACUUUUUAAACAUACUUUACGAAUAAUUUCUAAAUCGAUCCAGUUUUUUUUUUCAUUAAUUGUAAGUAGUUUGCUCCAACAGUUAUUUUCGUAUGUAAUUACAUUUGUUCUGAAGCAACCAGCUCUCGGCUACUGAUAAACAUUAUCUUUGUAUUCUCGACUAGACAUAGAAACUAUAACGGAUAACCGUAAACUCCUCCAUAGUUUUACAGUAUUCUAAUGUUCACUCAUAACAUUUGGAACGGGAUCGAACAGCCGUUAUUUAUGAUAAUGUACAUUAAUCACUUACCUACGUGAUGUGUAUAUUUAAAUGUGAACAAAUAUUGAACACAAACACUGAAACUUCCUAACUGUAUUAUUUUAUAAUGACACUAAUACGUAAAGUGACACAAGGACACGGUGUCAAUUAAAUAGAUAAUAUGCAGUUGGUUAUAUUCACUGUUACAGUUCGAACGACAUUACGUAUUCAUAUGCACAUAUGUGGAGUUGAAAUUAAUCAAAAAUAAACACUGCACACGUGCCAAGUUCUCGGUCGGCAACAUGUAUUCACUACUAAUUACACGGCUAUACUAACUGUUUCAGGCGCCAACACGUGAACCACCUUCACUCUGAUUCACACAGAUCAAGACCGCCUGAGAGUUUCAACACCAAAGAAACGGCUGAAGGUCGCUUAGAAUUCCUGUCUGUACCGGAUAAAUAGCAAUCAUUACGAAGACAAAAAAUGGAGUAUUUUACUUUCCGUAUCUGAAAAGCUCAGCUUCUAGAAAUAAACUAAAGUUUUUUAAAUUCAUUCUGCAGCAACAUACCAAAAAAAACUGAAUAGUUUCAUUAUAUAUAAGGUAAAUAAAAAAAUCACUCUUAUAACAAUACAAGCUUUUAACUGCGGCUUCGCUCGCUUUAAUGUAGAAAAAUAUUCAUCCCCUAGGUAUAAUACUAUUCUGGAUGAAGGUACCAACUCUUAUUGUUCUUUUCUUUGCCCUUCACAAAUUGCAUGCAAAAUCAUUAUUGCUGGUGAGACGUAUUAUGAGCUCGGAUGGGUAGAUAUUAUCAUUCUGACUAUUUCUGCGGCGAAGCAGUCAUGUAUUCUGGUUUGAAGAGUGGGCCAGCCGCUAUACGAUAUAAUAGCGACAUCGACCUCAUGUCUCAAGGUGAGUGGCGGCACUCUUGCUGUCAUGUCCGCCUGCGUACCCACGCACACCGAGUGAGCAGUGAGCUCCUUCACUAAUCCAAGCCGAAACAAACAAAAAAAUCAUGAUAAUCGGAUGAGCAGUUAAGACGUCAAAGCGCAACAAUCACACCAACACACUUUCACAUUUAUAAUAGUAUGAAUUAUGUUCUCGUAUAGCGGGAUUAUUCAAACCACUACUAAUUCGGUGGGAAUAAAAGGGAAUUACCAGAAUAAAUGAGAUAUUCACAGCCCGAUAAUUUAUAAUUGUCUCACGUCAACAACGUAUAUACCUACAAUGAAUGUGAUGACAUACUUUUUUGUUGUGUAAAUAUUACUAAAUGAAUUUAAUUUACUUCUGGUAAAGAAGCAAGCAGUGAUUGGCAAAUAAAAGCUUAUUACUACUUGUACACGGGUAAAUUAUAAUAAUAUUGUAGUAGUAUUUCGAUAUUUGGAAUCACAAGGGAAAUGCAAAAGCAUUCGAUUCUUUGGGUCUUUCACUUAAUAAGAAGUUAGAGCUGAUAUUAAUAAGUAUUUGAUAGCUAAAGUUUCGACUUAGGAAGGCGCGAUGUUAGAGUAUUUUUUUCGAGGAAUCGAAAAAUCGUUAUAAAAAUUUGAUUUGAGUUUUAUGGUACGUAUUUAUUGGAAUCAAUUACUUCUUCGAGUUCAGGGAAUUCCAAGUAAGACGUCAUUUAUAUUUGAUUAACUUCGACUUACGGUCUGAUUUUUAAAUUCGAAUUAUUUGUACUAAAAUGCCUACGCAGCGAAAUAACAUUUUGCAUUCGAGCUGCAAAGUCUAAGUAAUUCGAGAUAUCGAGUAUUAUGGGGCUUAAUGGAAGGGAACGGAAGGAAACGUUUUUUCCCGACUUACUGAGGAUUUCGACUUAUAGAUCCCACGAUAACAGUUAUUUUGAAAUUUUCACAGAUUCACAGGACUUCAUUCACAAACUACAUACGAUAUACGAUUAUCCAUUGAAAACUUAAUGCAUAUUAAAGAACUGCGAUAUCACUAUGAUGUAGGUACCGACAUUUUAUCCCAUUGACACUGGAUACUACUAUAAAAUUCUGUUACUGACACGAAAUUUAUCUUGAUUCGAAUUCCGAAUCAUAUUACAGACAAUAAUUUAGUUUCCUUGUAAGUUUAAAAUACUAAUUCUAUUGCUUGAUAAAAGCGAUAAGAUGUUUUGUGUAUCCUACUCCUUGAGUCGCAUUUCUCAUGUCUGAGGGUCGUGACCAUCUCCACCCGUUAUGCUUCUCUGAAUGAAGUUUGGCCAUCUUCCUCUGUUCUCGGUGGUGUGUAUGGCAUCGUAGACUGUGGUACUGCGGUAUCCAGAGUGUUGUCGAUUUGGUCGGACCAGCGCAUUGGAUAGCGGCCACGAGAUCUUUUGCCUGAAAUCUUGCCAGUUACCAUAAACUUUUCAAGAUUGUCACUACUCUUUCUGGCAAUGUGGCCGAAGAUUUCAAAUAUCCUCUUGACGCAGAUGGUAAAGAGCCUGGAUUGGAUAUUGAGCUGUUUUAAUAUGGAUACUUUACCCUGAUCCAUGUCAUUCCAUGACAUUCGUAGCAACUUCCUCCAGCACUACAUCUCGAAGGCAUCGAUGCGGUGGCGAUCAGCUGGUCUCAGAGUCCACGUCUCAGGACCAUAGAAAAGGAUUAAGAACACCAGAGUCCGGACAAGUCUCAUUUUGGUUUUAAGAUAUAUUUUCCUGUUUAUCCAUGUUCUAUGGAGCUGAGACGUGUCUCAUGAGAUGUCGUCACCCUCACAAGACCCGUUGCCGCAGAUGUUAGCGCCCAGAUAGAUAAAGUCAUCCACUUUUUGUAGGUUGAGCGUGCCAGUUAACGCCAUUUAGUUACCUCGAUCUAUCACCAUUAUCUUGAUCUCGGACUUGUUUAUGGUGAGGCCUAAGCGGUUGCUUACUCUUUCCGUUUUCUCCAUAGCCAUCUCGGACUCACUAGCGGCCACUAGAGUUGUGUCAUCGGCGCUGCUGCGUACCGAAGUUUGGUGAUUUUGGCUCCACCGAUACAGUCGUUCAAUUUGUGGCAUGAUAUAUUCACCGUAGGCAUUGAAGAGGAUGAGCGAGAGAAUACAGCCCUGGCCCUUUCUGAAACAGAAUCUAUUCUGCUAUGUUUUGGUCUAUUCCGACUUCGCCUCUACUCCCAGAGUCCGGUGUAUUCGUGUUGAGCGAUGCACCGUUGUUCGGAUCCUAGGAGGAUACCAAUUUUUCUAAUGAAAAAAUGUACUUACGUAAGUACGUUUUUGUUCACGAUUGACUUCCACGGUGAUGGAAUAUCAUCGUGUAAUAAAAAUCAAACCCACAAAAUUAUAAUUUGCGUAAUUACUCGUAGUAGGACCACUUGUGAGUCUGCACGGGUAGGUACCACCACCCUGCCCGUUUCUGUCGUGAAGCAGUAAUGUGUUUCAGUUUGAAGGGUGAGGCAGCCGUUGUAACUAUACUGAGACCUUAGAACUCAUAUCUCAGGGUGGGUGGCGGCAUUUAUGUUGUAGGUGUCUAUAGGCUCCUUAGAACUCAUAUCUCAGGGUGGGUGGCGGCAUUUAUGUUGUAGGUGUCUAUAGGCUCUGGUAACCACUUAACACCAGGUGAGCUGUGAGCUCGUCCAUCCAUCUAUGCAAUAAAAAAGGCCUUGAAGAUUGGAAUUAGGUGUUUUGGGACACCUAUCUCGGCCAAUAACUUCCACAGAGAUCUCUAAUGCUGUGUGCAUGUCGAAAGCCUUUCUGUAGUCCACAUAAUAUUAUAAUAGCUCGAUGUUUAUGUUGUAUGUGUAGGUACUAGGACGCGAUAAGUGGCCGAAAUUCUAAUCAUUUCAAGGUACUAUAGCUGUAAUUUAUUGAAAAAGUACGAAGGGACGUGAGUUGCUGCUUUUCGCCGCAAAUAAGAGUAUGAUUUUUUCUUUUACAAUUAGUUACAAUUGUUGUAUCUCGCUGCACACAACCUUUUUUCGUUAAGUCGGUGAAUUAUUUCGUGAACCUACAAUUUGAUUGAUAGAUAUAUACAUAUAUGUCCAAUAGCUGCUGCUGCAGAGCAAUCUACCAGCUUCAUGGCUACUUUAAUGUCAAUAUUUAUUUAUUGCAUAGAUUAGUGACAAGAGAACCUGUUUUUAAACGAUUGCAGGAGCCCAUGGAUUUCAUGCUUUUCAGUGUAUGGAACUAUCUUGAAACAUGAUAGCAUAACGACAACCCCAUCCUUCAAAUGGGAACGCAUUACUAUCGCAAACAAACUUGAAAUGUAGAAAGAUAUCACCUUUACUUAAUUCGAAAUUUUAAAAGUAUGUGUAACUUUAAAGGCGUCCUGAACGUAAUGCCAAGCGUAGAAUCAGCUUCAGUUUUAGUCGUGCAGCCUUCACGCUAGCGUGAGUAGGCGUAGGAAACAAAUAACUAUCGUCUAUUUUUUGUUACUAAGAGGCUGUCAAUAAUAAUAUGGAAAUCAUUCAAAUCAUCAUCAAUGAAAACAUAACAAAGGAGAUCAAAUUUAUUUACUUUACCUAUGUAUGGAGCGAAACAUGACCCCCAUUUUAUUCUAUGUACCAUAUGGCGGACAAAAGUCGAGGCAAUUCGUAUCCAAAAGUAAUUUUUGAAGACAACCACUACAGCAGACUGGAAUGGACUAUUUUAACAUUCAGAAUGGAAACAUUUAUGAGUGUUUGAGGUGUUAGCGAGCUUGUAUGUGCAAUAUUAUAUAACCCAAAUAUAAUAUGUAUGACAAAUAAAGUAACUAUAAUACUA